rnacentral:rRNA from 1 species
AUUGAACGCUGGCGGCAGGCCUAACACAUGCAAGUCGAACGGCAGCACAGAAGAGCUUGCUCUUUGGGUGGCGAGUGGCGGACGGGUGAGUAAUGUCUGGGAAACUGCCCGAUGGAGGGGGAUAACUACUGGAAACGGUAGCUAAUACCGCAUAACGUCGCGAGACCAAAGUGGGGGACCUUCGGGCCUCACACCAUCGGAUGUGCCCAGAUGGGAUUAGCUAGUAGGUGGGGUAAUGGCUCACCUAGGCGACGAUCCCUAGCUGGUCUGAUGGGAUUACCAGCCACACUGGAACUGAGACACGGUCCAGACUCCUACGGGAGGCAGCAGUGGGGAAUAUUGCACAAUGGGCGCAAGCCUGAUGCAGCCAUGCCGCGUGUAUGAAGAAGGCCUUCGGGUUGUAAAGUACUUUCAGCGGGGAGGAAGGCGGUGAGGUUAAUAACCUCGCCGAUUGACGUUACCCGCAGAAGAAGCACCGGCUAACUCCGUGCCAGCCGCCGCCGUAA